rnacentral:rRNA from 1 species
CAUGCAAGUCGAGGGGCAGCAUGGUCUUAGCUUGCUAAGGCCGAUGGCGACCGGCGCACGGGUGAGUAACACGUAUCCAACCUGCCGUCUACUCUUGGACAGCCUUCUGAAAGGAAGAUUAAUACAAGAUGGCAUCAUGAGUCCGCAUGUUCACAUGAUUAAAGGUAUUCCGGUAGACGAUGGGGAUGCGUUCCAUUAGAUAGUAGGCGGGGUAACGGCCCACCUAGUCUUCGAUGGAUAGGGGUUCUGAGAGGAAGGUCCCCCACAUUGGAACUGAGACACGGUCCAAACUCCUACGGGAGGCAGCGGUGAGGAAUAUUGGUCAAUGGGCGCAGGCCUGAACCAGCCAAGUAGCGUGAAGGAUGACUGCCCUAUGGGUUGUAAACUUCUUUUAUAAAGGAAUAAAGUCGGGUAUGUAUACCCGUUUGCAUGUACUUUAUGAAUAAGGAUCGGCUAACUCCGUGCCAGCAGCCGCGGUAAUACGGAGGAUCCGAGCGUUAUCCGGAUUUAUUGGGUUUAAAGGGAGCGUAGAUGGAUGUUUAAGUCAGUUGUGAAAGUUUGCGGCUCAACCGUAAAAUUGCAGUUGAUACUGGAUAUCUUGAGUGCAGUUGAGGCAGGCGGAAUUCGUGGUGUAGCGGUGAAAUGCUUAGAUAUCACGAAGAACUCCGAUUGCGAAGGCAGCCUGCUAAGCUGCAACUGACAUUGAGGCUCGAAAGUGUGGGUAUCAAACAGGAUUAGAUACCCUGGUAGUCCACACGGUAAACGAUGAAUACUCGCUGUUUGCGAUAUACGGCAAGCGGCCAAGCGAAAGCGUUAAGUAUUCCACCUGGGGAGUACGCCGGCAACGGUGAAACUCAAAGGAAUUGACGGGGGCCCGCACAAGC